UUCACGUCUUCAGAGUCUAUGGACAAAUGAACAGAAGCUAUCAAGAGACUUCAUGCCAGACUGUGAUGAAUAGGAAGUCUGAUUGGCGUACAUGCAGCUUGCUCAAAUAAACUCCAUGACCACUAGACUGGAGCACCUGAGGAGGGCUUAUUUGACAAAACAGUAUUGGAGUGAAUCCACUUUUUGAUCAAUACAUGGAAUGAUGUGGGGGGAAGCAGAGAAAAUACUACUUUUAUUUAACCAAACCGCCUCCCCCCCAGUAAAAGGGCAUCUAUGGAUGAAGACUUAUUUCAUGCACUAAAGUUAAAUCAUGGACUUGAGUCUAAUUUUGCAGCUGACGUUCUCUGAUGAAAACUUAAUGCAACUAUGUUCAUGUCCAGCGGUAUGUUACGUAGGAAAAUAAAUCUAACUUCUAGCUGGUGGCUCCAUCUAUUCAAACUUUUCUAUUCAGAUUGUAGGUAAAAGGUUUUAAUAGCUUUUAGACCAAUAUUAAAAAAACCUGGAUUUUGAGGCUGGGUUAAUUCAUAGGACAAGAGGGACACUGAUUCCUCGUCUACAUCUAAAAAUUAGGUCUAUCUACCUAUAUUUCUCGGGGUUGUGAAAUGUUUUGUCUCCUGUGCAACAGCUGUUGAGAUUUGUUGCUGAAAAUAUGCAUGCAGCAUGUAUGGCAGUAAAACUUUACAUAUGCUACUCUGUCCCUUACCACUAUUGGGGCAAAUCAUGAUGGUCCCAAACAGUUCUCCAAAGGCCAAACUCUGCCCUCCUGUUACUCAUGUUAAGUAGGACACAGUAAGUCCUGUUGAUUUCAGAGGACUACUUAAUGUGCUGCUUGAAUUGUGAUGGAUGGAUAUUGAGAGAAACACAGAAGCCAUCCGGCAAACCUUUACACCCCUGAGUAAUCCCUGUUCAUCAGAAUAAUCCUAUUGAGUUUGAUGGAACUUCAACUGUGAGAAAAGAUUGUUUCCUUGAAUAGUAGUUUGCAGAAUCAGAUGCCUAAAGGACUGCUCCUGCAGCCGCUGAAGUAAAUGGCAAAACUCUCCUUUUGUUUAAUAACGUAGGGUUGGGUUCUAAUGUCACUUAUUGGAAGGCUGCACAGAGUUAGUGGCCAAGACAGGCUCUUCUACAACCUAAGAGUCCUGGCAUCUAGUCCUCUACACUUAAACAGUACACAACCUUGUUACACUGUUAGCUUUUCCCCCUGCCAUUCAGAAGUGUGUUGGAUACAUUUAUUUAGACUGUAAGCUUGGGAUCUUUUCUUCAUGCCAGUCAUCACUCCUGAUCCUGAAGAACAUUUCUCUUAUUCAGAGACAGCUGGCUAGACUUGGGCUAAUACUAAGAUGAGCUGGAGAACCCCCACCCCUCUCUCUUUUUCAUUUUGUACCUUAAGUCUUUUUUUUUUAUACGAGCAAAAACAAGCAAAAAAUACUUUAGAAAGGCUUUGGUUACUCUUCUGCUUUAUUUUCUAGAGCUGUGUUUGAUGGCAUUAUAAGGCUAGCAUUUGUAUUGCUCUUUUUCACUAGCUGUUUUCUGUUUAAAUAACAAUAAAAAGUGGGGCAGGGAGAAGGCAAACAGUAAAUGCCAUGGUACAGGCUUCUGUGUAAUAAUCCUCAUUCUAAAUGUACAGCAUGUGUGUUUUUAAGAUAACGCUAAUAAAGUCAAAUGAUUGUGAUGGACAUUUUUUAUUAACCUUCCAUUUGAAUCAUAUGUCGGAGCAUAAUGGAAGCUGGCAAGGAUGUUAAGCUGUAUUAGGGGAAAAACCUCUUCUGAUUUAUGUGCCUUUCAGUUUUUAAAAAAGUGGUUUGUUUUUUAGCCAGGUUUUGACCGCUGACUAUGCUUUUUUUAAAAACACGGAUAACAUGUCUUUCUUUCACAUUAGAAAACUAAUAGAAAGCACUCAUCAAAGCCCCAAUCUGAAAUGAAGCUUGUUAUUGACCUCACUUGGGGGAGAGGGGGAAGAAUUAAACCUCAAGUGAGGUACAGAUGUUCUGAUACCAAAACUCCAUGUGUUCUUAUUAGCUUUUCCCUGGUCUUUCUGUUUUUUUUUUUUUUUAAAUCUAAUAGUAGCUCCC